rnacentral:lncRNA from 1 species
UUCUACGAAACUUAACUGAUUCGGAGGAAGCUAGGACGUGUCUUUUUCUGCCCCGCCCGCCAUAGAUAGGUAUCUGACGGGGGCGGUAUGGUGGUAGAAUCAGGUUGAGCAUUGCAAGAGCGCGGGAUUUGAUCUAGAGUGGGGAGUUGAUACUUUUGGAAAAGUGAGCGUUAAUUCGUUUCCCGGUCUUUGCACGUCCUUUACCACCAGUACAGCUGAGCUCAUCCUCCUUACUGGAAAAUCGCCAGUGAAGAAAUACCUGAAUUGCCAUGUGCACAUUUCUCAAGAGAACGCGGGCAGUCAGAGUAGCAUGAGUUGCUGAUGAUGUGAAAGCAUGUGGACUUACCUGCAAACUGUUGCUGGCUGCACAGAACUCUUCCAGCCUGCACAGAAGUGUGCGUCAGGUUCGCAAACUGCACAAGUAAACACGUCUCAAAGGACAUAAUACAACCGCAGCCGGUUCGAGCACCGAGAAAUUCUAAAUAACAAAAUCAAUUUACUGAACUUCCCGGGUUGCCUCCCAGAACUCUGGUGUCAUUCUGCUGUGUUGCGAAUGGAUUGAAGAAAGACAAGAAUGAACUUGGAACAACUAAUUAUGGGAAUAUUUUAGUCAUCCAGAUGGUUAUUCUGAUUGUGGUGGCAGCAAGGAUGGAAAAAAGGGAGUGCAUCUGCUUUAUCGCUGCUGCUGCUGCUGCUGC